AUUGAACGCUGGCGGCAGGCCUAACACAUGCAAGUCGAGCGGAUGAAGGGAGCUUGCUCCUGGAUUCAGCGGCGGACGGGUGAGUAAUGCCUAGGAAUCUGCCUGGUAGUGGGGGAUAACGUCCGGAAACGGGCGCUAAUACCGCAUACGUCCUGAGGGAGAAAGUGGGGGAUCUUCGGACCUCACGCUAUCAGAUGAGCCUAGGUCGGAUUAGCUAGUUGGUGGGGUAAAGGCCUACCAAGGCGACGAUCCGUAACUGGUCUGAGAGGAUGGUCAGUCACACUGGAACUGAGACACGGUCCAGACUCCUACGGGAGGCAGCAGUGGGGAAUAUUGGACGAUGGGCGAAAGCCUGAUCCAGCCAUGCCGCGUGUGUGAAGAAGGUCUUCGGAUUGUAAAGCACUUUAAGUUGGGAGGAAGGGCAGUAAGUUAAUACCUUGCUGUUUUGACGUUACCAACAGAAUAAGCACCGGCUAACUUCGUG
rnacentral:rRNA from 1 species